rnacentral:lncRNA from 1 species
CUAAAAGGCACGACCCAUUUACAUAAUGUACAAAAAACAGGCAGAACUAGUCCCUGCUGUUCAAAGUCAGGAUAGUGAUUGAUUGCCCCUGGGUGGAGUCAUGUUUGGAAGAGAACCUGACAGGAGUCCUGGGGUACUUGACUUGAGUGCUGCUUAUACGGAGGUGGCAGUAGCUUACUCCUUUCACCAAAUCUGGGAAGCAAUGACUUGAAUAAGAGAUUGUCCUGGUGCUUCAGCUCAGGCCCAAGGCUCCCUUGGCUGCCUGGGGUUCACCAGUUCGGAUCCCGGGCACCGAGAUACACACCGCUCAUCAAGCCAUGCUGUGGCAGGUGUCCCAC